UGUCCAGGAAUGGGAAUCGAACCUACAGUGUUCCGCUUAUCGGGCUGAUGCCAUGUCCACUAGGCUUCCCAUGC
rnacentral:tRNA from 1 species